rnacentral:rRNA from 5 species
AAUCCAUAGGUUAAUGAGGCGAACCGGGGGAACUGAAACAUCUAAGUACCCCGAGGAAAAGAAAUCAACCGAGAUUCCCCCAGUAGCGGCGAGCGAACGGGGAGGAGCCCAGAGCCUGAAUCAGCAUGUGUGUUAGUGGAAGCGUCUGGAAAGGCGCGCGAUACAGGGUGACAGCCCCGUACACAAAAGCGCAUGUGCUGUGAGCUCGAUGAGUAGGGCGGGACACGUGGUAUCCUGUCUGAAUAUGGGGGGACCAUCCUCCAAGGCUAAAUACUCCUGACUGACCGAUAGUGAACCAGUACCGUGAGGGAAAGGCGAAAAGAACCCCGGCGAGGGGAGUGAAAAAGAACCUGAAACCGUGUACGUACAAGCAGUGGGAGCACCCUUUGGGGUGUGACUGCGUACCUUUUGUAUAAUGGGUCAGCGACUUAUAUUCUGUAGCAAGGUUAACCG